CCUACGGGUGGCAGCAGUGAGGAAUAUUGGUCAAUGGGCUUACGCCUGAACCAGCCAAGUCGCGUGAGGGAAGACUGUCCUAUGGGUUGUAAACCUCUUUUGUCAGGGAGCAAUUGGCGCUACGUGUAGCGUUAUCGAGAGUACCUGAAGAAAAAGCAUCGGCUAACUCCGUGCCAGCAGCCGCGGUAAUACGGAGGAUGCGAGCGUUAUCCGGAUUUAUUGGGUUUAAAGGGUGCGUAGGCGGAAUGCCAAGUCAGCGGUAAAAUCGCGGGGCUCAACCUCGCUCCGCCGUUGAAACUGGCGUUCUUGAGUGGGCGAGAAGUAUGCGGAAUGCGUGGUGUAGCGGUGAAAUGCGUAGAUAUUAGGAGGAACACCAGUGGCGAAGGCGGCUUACUGGACUGUAAAUGACGCUGAGGCUCGAAAGCGUGGGGAGCAAACAGGAUUAGAUACCCUUGUAGUC
rnacentral:rRNA from 1 species